AUACGGAGGAUCCGAGCGUUAUCCGGAUUUAUUGGGUUUAAAGGGUGCGCAGGCGGCCAUUUAAGUCAGCGGUUAAAUCGUGGGGCUCAACCCCAUUCUGCCGUUGAUACUGGGUGGCUUGAUUGCGGCCGAGGUUGGCGGAAUUCGUUGUGUAGCGGUGAAAUGCAUAGAUAUGACGAAGAACACCGAUUGCGUAGGCAGCUGACCAGACCGCAAAUGACGCUCAUGCACGAAAGUGCGGGGAUCGAACAGGAUUAGAUACCCUGGUAGUCCGCGCAGUAAACGAUGAAUACUUGUUUUCGGCGAUAUAAUGUCGGAGGCAAAGCGAAAGCGAUAAGUAUUCCACCUGGGGAGUACGCCGGCAACGGUGAAACUCAAAUGAAUUGACGGGG
rnacentral:rRNA from 1 species